rnacentral:misc_RNA from 1 species
GAUGAAGAACGCAGCGAAAUGCGAUAAGUAGUGUGAAUUGCAGAAUUCAGUGAAUCAUCGAAUCUUUGAACGCACAUUGCGCCCCUUGGUAUUCCAUGGGGCAUGCCUGUUCGAGCGUCAUUUGUACCCUCAAGCUUUGCUUGGUGUUGGGCGUCUUGUCGUAUUACGACUCGCCUUAAAUACAUUGGCAGCCGGCACUUUGGCCUAGGAGCGCAGCACAUUUUGGGAUCGUAGCCCGUUGUACUGGCGUCCAUCAAGAACAUUUACCACGUUUGACCUCGGAUCAGGUAGGGAUACCCGCUGAACUUAAGCAUAUCAAUAAGCGGAGGA